UUCUCUUAGCUCUCCUCCUGAGGAUGCAGUUUCUGAUUCCAGAUAACUCCUUGUAUCCCUCCAGUGUCCUAUGGCACUUUCUGCAUUCCCAGGACAGUGCACUGUGUCGUUCAGGAAGCAGUGUCAGAAGCUCACUUUUGUGCUAAUUUUUAUAUGCACGAAAUUGCAGGCUUAUGGUGUGAGCUAAAAUGAUUCCAUCCUGAAGCUAUGAAGCUCUUAAUACCAAUUGUAUCCAUGUCAGAUGGAUCAGUGUUGGUUUGGGUUUUUUGUUUGUUUUUUGAAAAAUAGCAAAAAUUUUUAUCAGUUAAACGGAGAUGACUAACAGUAGCAUUUUGUACAAGCGUAUUUCAUUUAAGUAAAGAGUCCCUUGUCACUGGAAAUGAAUGAAUACAUUUUAUUAUGGCAUUUAACUUUAAACAUAAUUGUCUGAAUCUUAAUUUUUAGGAUUCCCAGUUUAAGAAUCCUUUGUUUUCAUUACUUGUCUGCUUUGAGAACAGACAUAAAAGGAAAAUGAUGAAAGAAAUCUAAAGUCCCGAGUCUCUUCUUGUUUGGGUAUAUUUCAACAGAUGAAUAUUUAGCAAUACUGCAAACCUCAGUGGGACUAAUUUAUUUAUUUUUUCACUUUCUGGUGACAUUUAAAGAAAUGCUUUACGUAAAGAGAAAAUAUGUUCUUAACAUGUAUAUUUAAACCUAAAUUUGCUUUUUUGAUUUUUAAAGAUAUAUUUGAUAUCAGAAAAGUUGUAACCGUCUGCUUUGGUAAUUAACACAGUAGUUGAGGAGCUUGACAGUUUGAGGAAUUUCCAUGCUGAUGACAUCCUGUUUUUAUGUUCCUGGAGGAGAAGGUUUGAUUCACAUUCAAGAGGAAUGAAGUUGAUGUAGAAAUCUCACUUGAAGAUAUGGGAAGACUUCAGUUGCUUUUGUAGCUCCAUUUGAAUACAGAAGUCAAAAAAAAACUCUACUGCAAAAGUAUUUAGAUUCCUUAGGGCUUUUCUCUUCUUUUUUUUUUCCUGAAUAAAAUUUCAUAUUUCAUGAUGAAGAAUCAUGACCUGUAUUCAGUGCUCCUUCAGACAAAUAGAAAACCUUCUCUGCUGCUCAAUUUCAACAGUAUUUUAGUAGUAGCUCAUGUUUUUAUUGAUUUUUACUCCUUAAAUCUAUUCAGUCUUAAAGGUAUUUUGAAGUCAUAGUUGACGUACGUGGUCUGAAAAGGUUGCUUAAGCAAUCUGCCAGAGGGAAAACAUUUUUGUUUCAUUAUCAGAAGUGCUAAUCCUAAGUACACAGUUACAUUGCACAGAAAAUGAUUUAGUACAAGUGACACAAGUUUUGCGUACUCAGGUUUUUGGAUUCUAUUUCUUCCGAUAAAAUCAAAAUUAAAGCCCCUCCUUCUAUUUUUUAGCUGAAUAAAGAUUGUAUCAGUCUGUAGAAGACAAUUAUUUAAAUAUAAUUUUGGUAAUUUAGUUGUACCAGAUUUAACAGAUGAAAUGCAGUAUUUCUAAAGUUUUGCUUUGAGUCUCGGUAGGUGCCAGAAAUAUCUUUAAAUGACAUUGCAGAUAAGCAAGUAUACCUUCUUUAAGUGUUCAUUUUUGUUUGUAUCUAGUAUUUACAACUCAACAUUUAUAAACACAUUUCUUUGUAAAAUCUUUCAAAUUUAAUACUCAAUUUUUACCAUCUGUAUGCUGUUUGGGGAUUAUUUUUUAUUUACACGUGAAUCUAGUUGUUUGAGUUUAUUGACUGUCUGCUACUUUCAGAAUUUGUGCUAUAAAAUCAUUCCUGACAUUCAUUUAUGACUUUGUUGCUUUCUUAUCUGCCUACUCUUUCCAUGGAGAUAAAAUAUGGAAAUG